AGCAGCCGCGGUAAUUCCAGCUCCAAUAGCGUAUAUUAAAGUUGCUGCAGUUAAAAAGCUCGUAGUUGAAUUUCGGGACCAUCAUGUCGGUCGUGCCUCGGUACGUACUGGCAUUGUUGGUUUCUCCCUUCUGACGAACCAUGAUGUCAUUUAUUUGGUGUCGUGGGAAAUCAGGACUGUUACUUUGAAAAAUUAGAGUGUUUAAAGCAGGCUCACGCUUGAAUACAUUAGCAUGGAAUAAUGAAAUAGGACGUUUGAUUCUAUUUUGUUGGUUUCUAGGAUCGACGUAAUGAUUAAUAGGGAUAGUUGGGGGCAUUAGUAUUCAAUUGUCAGAGGUGAAAUUCUUGGAUUUAUUGAAGACUAACUACUGCGAAAGCAUUUGCCAAGGAUGUUUUCAUUAAUCAAGAACGAAAGUUAGGGGAUCGAAGACGAUCAGAUACCGUCGUAGUCUUAACCAUAAACUAUGCCGACUAGGGAUCGGAUGAUGUUAAUUUUUAAUGACUCAUUCC
rnacentral:misc_RNA from 1 species